UUUCCGUAGGUGAACCUGCGGAAGGAUCAUUAAAAAUGAAAAACGAAUAACUUCAGGGAAGAAGGGAACCUGCACGGUGACCUCCCCUGUCGGGCCACCCAAUACCUUCAAAAUGCCGCCGUCCUAGCGGUGGCAGACGAAAAAAAAACAAGAAAAACAAAAUAGAAACAGGCACGGUGGCCCGUUCACCUUCACACAACCCUCCGAGUACCGCUUCCAUGUUGCUUCCCCGAAAAUCCACCUCUUUGGUGAGCGCGGGGGAGGUCCGCAUCAAAUUCACCUGAAUGUCACAGCAGUCAGACAGCCAUUCAUGGAAACAAUAAAACUUUCAACAACGGAUCUCUUGGUUCCC
rnacentral:misc_RNA from 1 species